rnacentral:rRNA from 1 species
UACGGAGGGUGCAGGCGUUGUCCGGAUUUAUUGGGUUUAAAGGGUGCGUAGGCGGUUAAUUAAGUCAGUGGUGAAAUCCUGGAGCUCAACUUCAGAACUGCCAUUGAUACUGGUUGACUUGAGUACAGACGAGGUUGGCGGAAUUGAUGGUGUAGCGGUGAAAUGCAUAGAUACCAUCAAGAACACCGAUUGCGAAGGCAGCUAACUAGGCUGUAACUGACGCUGAGGCACGAAAGUGUGGGGAUCAAACAGG